rnacentral:rRNA from 1 species
CCAAUAGCGUAUAUUAAAGUUGUUGCAGUUAAAAAGCUCGUAGUUGAAUUUCGGGAUCAAUACGUCGGUCGUGCCUCUGGUAUGUACUGGUGUUAUUGGUUUCUCCCUUCUGAUGAAUCAUGAUGUCAUUAAUUUGGUGUUGUGGGGAGUCAGGACUGUUACUUUGAAAAAAUUAGAGUGUUUAAAGCAGGCUAACGCUUGAAUACAUUAGCAUGGAAUAAUGAAAUAGGACGUUCGAUCUUAUUUUGUUGGUUUCUAAGGUCAACGUAAUGAUUAAUAGGGAUAGUUGGGGGCAUUAGUAUUCAAUUGUCAGAGGUGAAAUUCUUGGAUUUAUUGAAGACUAACUACUGCGAAAGCAUUUGCCAAGGAUGUUUUCAUUAAUCAAGAACGAAAGUUAGGGGAUCGAAGACGAUCAGAUACCGUCGUAGUCUUAACCAUAAACUAUGCCGACUAGGGAUCGGAUGAUGUUAAUUUUUUAAUGACUCAUUCGGCGCCUUACG